CUCGCUGUCCCUAUCUACUAUCUAGCGAAACCACUGCCAAGGGAACGGGCUUGGAAAAAUCAGCGGGGAAAGAAGACCCUGUUGAGCUUGACUCUAGUCUGGCACUGUAAGGAGACAUGAGAGGUGUAGCAUAAGUGGGAGACGGUAUCCAUCCCGUCGCCGGUGAAAUACCACUACUUUCAUCGUUUCUUUACUUACUUGGUUAGGCGGAGGGCGUUCGUCGAGGGUACACACCCCGGCGGUACGGUCUUCUCGCGCCAAGCGUUCAAGGGUUGCCGGCGGACAGAAGUGCGGGUCGACGUCGGUGAGUCGUGUAACCUGGCUUGCCAGGCCACGGCCCGGCGACGGCUUUAGCACGCUCUGAACCCGACCGGCAAACACUCCCUAGCGUGAUCCGAUCCGAGGACACUGCCAGGCGGGGAGUUUGACUGGGGCGGUACAUCUGUCAAAGAAUAACGCAGGUGUCCUAAGGCCAGCUCAGCGAGGACAGAAACCUCGCGUAGAGCAAAAGGGCAAAUGCUGGCUUGAUCCCGAUGUUCAGUACGCAUAGGGACUGCGAAAGCACGGCCUAUCGAUCCUUUUGGCUUGAAGAGUUUUCAGCAAGAGGUGUCAGAAAAGUUACCACAGGGAUAA
rnacentral:rRNA from 1 species